UGAUUUCAUGUUUUCGUUCAGGUUCAGAACCAAACCGUUCUUCACUUCACAAAUCGCUCCUUUCGGCGAUAGCAGUGGUCAAGGUCGACCCUGCUACUUAAAAAUAAUCUUGAAUUACUUUUAACAUCGUGGAAUAAAUCACAUCCAGCAAAAUGUCUAGUAGUUGGAACAAUAGCCGUGGUGGAAGCGGUGGUUCCAAAUUUGGCGGAGAAAGGAAGUUCGGGAGCAGCAACGGCUCAUCACGAUUCAGUAAUGGAGGAUCAAAGUUCGGCGGUAGCGGAGGCGGCGGUGGCAACAGAUUUGGUGGUUCUGGCGGCGGUUUUGGCGGCGGCGGUGGCAAGAAAGACUUCACUGGCGGUCAAAACAUGCGCCGGCCCAACUGGGAUACUAUGUCUCUGCAACCAUUCAACAAAGAUUUCUACAACCCACACCCAACAGUUCUAAACAGAUCACCCUAUGAGGUUGAGGAAUACAGAAGCAAAUAUGAGAUCACUGUCAGUGGGCUGGAUAUCCCAAACCCCAUUCAGAAUUUUGAUGAAGCCAAUUUCCCUGAUUACGUCAAUCAAAGCAUAACCAACAUGGGAUACAAGGACCCAACACCUAUCCAAGCACAAGGCUGGCCUAUUGCUAUGUCUGGAAAGAACUUAGUAGGCAUUGCCCAGACUGGCUCAGGAAAAACUCUGGCUUACAUUUUACCUGCUAUUGUGCAUAUCAACAACCAGCCCCCUAUUAGGCGGGGUGAUGGUCCCAUUGCUUUGGUUCUUGCACCAACUCGUGAAUUAGCACAACAAAUCCAACAAGUUGCUUCUGACUUUGGUAACUCUGCCUAUGUCCGCAACACUUGUGUAUUUGGUGGUGCACCCAAGAGAGAGCAAGGCCGUGACUUAGAACGGGGAGUAGAAAUUGUAAUUGCUACUCCUGGUAGAUUGAUUGAUUUCUUAGAAAAGGGUACCACAAAUUUGCAGAGAUGCACAUAUUUGGUCCUAGAUGAAGCUGACCGUAUGUUGGACAUGGGUUUUGAACCCCAAAUUAGAAAAAUCAUUGAACAGAUUCGCCCUGAUAGACAAACUUUGAUGUGGUCAGCAACAUGGCCGAAGGAAGUAAGAAAAUUAGCUGAAGACUACCUGGGAGAUUACCUCCAAAUUAACAUUGGAUCUCUACAGUUAUCAGCUAACCACAACAUCUUACAAAUUGUAGAUGUUUGCCAGGAACAUGAAAAAGAAAACAAAUUAAAUGUACUUUUACAAGAAAUAGGACAGAGUCAAGAGCCUGGUGCCAAAACAAUUAUCUUUGUAGAAACUAAGAGGAAAGUAGAAAAUAUCACUAGGAAUAUAAGACGAUAUGGAUGGCCUGCAGUUUGUAUGCACGGUGACAAAACUCAACAGGAGAGAGAUGAAACACUAUAUCAAUUUAAGCAAGGCCGUGCCAGUAUACUUGUUGCAACUGAUGUUGCAGCCAGAGGACUUGAGGCACUGGCGGAAGGUUAUUGUGUUCUAUCUGAUUACUGCCCGAAUUUAAUGGGCAAGUCACUACUGCACUGGAUUUGUAGAUGAUGUAGUCUGAUGCAGUACAUUGUUUAGAGAAUGCAAUAACUCGUCAAUAUAACGGUGCCUCAUUAGUGCCUUUCACUGUGAUUGGACCCGAGGCCGGAAAGCUUGAUGGUAUGUCCGUCUAUCUGUACGGACGGAUACACUUGAGAGUGUGGAAAACCUGGUGAUGCACUAGUAUAUAAGAGUAAGAGUACCGAGAUGAAAGAUUCUCCGAUGUGCAUUGUUGAAAAACUUGACCACAGUUGAGAUGUUAUCGGCAGAGGGUCAAGGGUUUUCUAUUUCGGCCAAAUGGAGUUUUGGAUGGGGCAAUAUCAAUAUAACAAAGAUUUUACAACAAAUAAACUAAUCAUCAUGCCCUUAAUAAGACUCCUGGGUUCUGAGUGAGAGGCAAAUAUUGAAUUGUAUUUGGUACAUAUCUGUGUAACUCAUUCAUAUGUUGAUGGAAUAAAAUACGUUAUUAACUUUGAUUAUCCUAACUCAUCUGAGGAUUACAUUCACCGGAUUGGCAGAACAGGACGUUCAAAAUCAAAAGGCACAUCUUAUGCCUUCUUUACACCCUCCAACUCUCGUCAAGCCAAAGACCUUGUGUCAGUUCUACAAGAAGCUAAUCAGGU
rnacentral:misc_RNA from 1 species